GGCUCUGUGGCUGAGCGGUAAAGCACUUGGCUUCCGAACCAAAGGUCCCGGGUUUGAAUCCUGGUGAAGACA
rfam:Biomphalaria glabrata isolate BB02 linkage group LG29 unlocalized genomic scaffold LG29_random_Scaffold27, whole genome shotgun sequence.